rnacentral:rRNA from 1 species
GCAGUCGCCGCGGUAAUACGUAGGUGGCAAGCGUUGUCUGGAAUUAUUGGGCGUAAAGCGCGCGCAGGCGGUUUCUUAAGUCUGAUGUGAAAGCCCCCGGCUCAACCGGGGAGGGUCAUUGGAAACUGGGAAACUUGAGUGCAGAAGAGGAGAGUGGAAUUCCGCGUGUAGCGGUGAAAUGCGUAGAGACGUGGAGGAACACCAGUGGCGAAGGCGACUCUCUGGUCUGUAACUGACGCUGAGGAGCGAAAGCGUGGGGAGCGAACAGGAUUAGAGACCCGCGUAGUCCCUGUCUCUUAUAC